rnacentral:rRNA from 1 species
AGAGUUUGAUCCUGGCUCAGGACGAACGCUGGCGGCGUGCUUAACACAUGCAAGUCAAGGAGAACAUUUUCUUCGGAAAAUAAGUAAACUGGCGAACGGGUUAGUAACGCGUAGGCAACCUACCUUUCAGAUUGGGACAACCCUGUGAAAACGGGGCUAAUACCGAAUAAUAUUUUUAAUCUUUGGAUUAUAAAUCAAAAUAGGCUUCGGCUUAUACUGUUAGAUGGGCUUGCGUCUGAUUAGCUAGUUGGUAGUGCAAUAGACUACCAAGGCUACGAUCAGUAGGUGGUUUGAGAGGAUGAUCACCAACACUGGGACUGAGAUACGGCCCAGACUCCUACGGGAGGCAGCAGUGAGGAAUUUUGCGCAAUGAGCGAAAGCUUGACGCAGCAACGCCGCGUGAUUGAAGAAGAUCUGAGGAUUGUAAAAAUCUGUCAUAAGGGAAGAAUAGCAUAUAUUUUAACAAAAUAUUUGUUUGACGGUACCUUAUUAGAAAGCCCCGGCUAACUUCGUGCCAGCAGCCGCGGUAAUACGAGGGGGGCUAGCGUUGUCCGGAUUUAUUGGGCGUAAAGAGUUCGUAGGCGGAUUAGUAAGUCGAUAUUGAAAUACAAUGGCUUAACCAUUGAGACAGUAUGGAUACUGCUAAUCUUGAAUUAUGUAGAGGUAAGUGGAAUUUCUGGUGUAGCGGUGAAAUGCGUAGAUAUCAGAAGGAACACCAAAGGCGAAGGCAACUUACUGGGCAUUAAUUGACGCUGAGGAACGAAAGCGUGGGUAGCAAACAGGAUUAGAGACCCUGGUAGUCCACGCCGUAAACGAUGAGUACUUGGUGGUGGGAGAUUCGACCCUUUCACUGCUGGAGUUAACGCAUUAAGUACUCCGCCUGGGGAAUACGACCGCAAGGUUGAAACUCAAAGGAAUUGACGGGGACCCGCACAAGCGGUGGAUUAUGUGGUUUAAUUCGAUGCAACGCGAAGAACCUUACCUGGACUUGACAUGUUAGUGAUCGUUCUGUGAAAGCAGUCCAUUUUUUAUGCUUGCAUAAAAACACUAUCACAGGUGAUGCAUGGCUGUCGUCAGCUCGUGUCGUGAGAUGUUCGGUUAAGUCCGAUAACGAGCGCAACCCCUAUCUUUAGUUGCCAGCACGUAAUGGUGGGGACUCUAGAGAAACUGCCUGGGUUAACCAGGAGGAAGGUGGGGUCGACGUCAAGUCAGUAUGUCCCUUAUGUUCAGGGCUACACACGUAAUACAAUGGGAAACACAAAGGGUUGCCAAUCCGCAAGGUGGAGCUAAUCCCAAAAAAUUUCCCUAAGUUCGGAUUGUAGUCUGCAACUCGACUACAUGAAGUCGGAAUCGCUAGUAAUCGCGAAUCAGCAUGUCGCGGUGAAUACGUUCCCGGGCCUUGUACACACCGCCCGUCACACCAUGGGAGUUGGUUCUACCCGAAGCCGGUGCGCUAACCAGUUUACUGGGGGCAGCCGACCACGGUAGGAUUAGCGACUGGGGUGAAGUCGUAACAAGGUAACC